rnacentral:rRNA from 1 species
GACGGGUGAGUAACACGUGGGUAACCUACCCAUCAGAGGGGGAUAACACUUGGAAACAGGUGCUAAUACCGCAUAACAGUUUAUGCCGCAUGGCAUAAGAGUGAAAGGCGCUUUCGGGUGUCGCUGAUGGAUGGACCCGCGGUGCAUUAGCUAGUUGGUGAGGUAACGGCUCACCAAGGCCACGAUGCAUAGCCGACCUGAGAGGGUGAUCGGCCACACUGGGACUGAGACACGGCCCAGACUCCUACGGGAGGCAGCAGUAGGGAAUCUUCGGCAAUGGACGAAAGUCUGACCGAGCAACGCCGCGUGAGUGAAGAAGGUUUUCGGAUCGUAAAACUCUGUUGUUAGAGAAGAACAAGGACGUUAGUAACUGAACGUCCCCUGACGGUAUCUAACCAGAAAGCCACGGCUAACUACGUGCCAGCAGCCGCGGUAAUACGUAGGUGGCAAGCGUUGUCCGGAUUUAUUGGGCGUAAAGCGAGCGCAGGCGGUUUCUUAAGUCUGAUGUGAAAGCCCCCGGCUCAACCGGGGAGGGUCAUUGGAAACUGGGAGACUUGAGUGCAGAAGAGGAGAGUGGAAUUCCAUGUGUAGCGGUGAAAUGCGUAGAUAUAUGGAGGAACACCAGUGGCGAAGGCGGCUCUCUGGUCUGUAACUGACGCUGAGGCUCGAAAGCGUGGGGAGCAAACAGGAUUAGAUACCCUGGUAGUCCACGCCGUAAACGAUGAGUGCUAAGUGUUGGAGGGUUUCCGCCCUUCAGUGCUGCAGCAAACGCAUUAAGCACUCCGCCUGGGGGAGUACGACCGCAAGGUUGAAACUCAAAGGAAUUGACGGGGGCCCGCACAAGCGGUGGAACCUGUGGUUUAAUUCGAAGCAACGCGAAGAACCUUACCAGGUCUUGACAUCCUUUGACGACUCUAGAGAUAGAGCUUUCCCUUCGGGGACAAAGUGACAGGUGGGGCAUGGUUGUCCUCAGCUCGUGUCGUGAGAAGUUGGGUUAAGUCCCGCACCGAGCGCAACCCUUAUUGUUAGUUGCCAUCAUUUAGUUGGGCACUCUACCGAGACUGCCGCUGAGAAACCCGAGGAAGGGGGGGAUAAAGUCAAAU